rnacentral:RNase_MRP_RNA from 1 species
AAACACCUCAAAGAAUCGCGAACGAAGCAUCACAUACUAAAAGUUAACUAUUUAUAGUUAGACUUUUUUAAAUAUUGCGUAUUCGCCUUUUAGUGGUUGAAUAAAGGCAAUAAAUGCUUUGGGGAAAGUCCUCGGAUACUAGGGCAGAAAGUGUCGCCUUUAGUUUAGGGUCAUAUUAGAGUUCAAUAAUCCUGCGAAGAAUUGAAGUUUUAAACUUUAAUUAUAGCUAUAUGGAUAGAUGAAUAUUUAAUAUUGAUCAUCAUAGCAAAGUUAUGCGAUUGUAUCAAAUCAAAGUUAUUUUAUUAAAGAAAUUGUGAGACUUACUUUUAUGUUUGUCUCUGUUCUCUAAUAAAAUUGAUAUAACACAACGAGGCUUACUCUUGAGAUGUU